rnacentral:rRNA from 1 species
UACGGGGGGGGCAAGCGUUGUUCGGAAUUACUGGGCGUAAAGGGCUCGUAGGCGGCCAACUAAGUCAUACGUGAAAUCCCUCGGCUUAACCGGGGAACUGCGUCUGAUACUGGAUGGCUUGAGUUCGGGAGAGGGAUGCGGAAUUCCAGGUGUAGCGGUGAAAUGCGUAGAUAUCUGGAGGAAUACCGGUGGCGAAGGCGGCAUCCUGGACCGGCAUUGACGCUGAGGAGCGAAAGCUAGGGGAGCAAACGGG